rnacentral:rRNA from 1 species
UAGAGGUCCGCCUGCCUGUGACUACAAGUUUAACGGCCGCGGUAUUUUGACCGUGCAAAGGUAGCGCAAUCACUUGUCUUUUAAAUGGAGACCUGUAUGAAUGGCAUAACGAGGGCUUAACUGUCUCCUCUUUCAAGUCAAUGAAAUUAAUCUCUCCGUGCAGAAGCGGAGAUAAUACCACAAGACGAGAAGACCCUAUGAAGCUUUAGACAAAAAAGUAGACCAUGCCAAGCAUUCUCAGCCAAGAGACAAGAGCUUAACAACCCCCUACCCUAUUGUCUUCGGUUGGGGCGACCACGGGGUAAAACAAAACCCCCAUGCAGAACGGGACAAUCUGUCCUAGAGCUAAGAGCCCCAGCUCCAAGCAACAGAACCUCUCUGACUAACCAGAUCCGGCCUAGCCGAUCUACGGACCAAGUUACUCUAGGGAUAACAGCGCAAUCCCCUUCUAGAGUCCCUAUCGACAAGGGGGUUUACGACCUCGAUGUUGGAUCAGGACAUCCUAUUGGUGCAGCCGCUAUUAAGGGUUCGUUUGUUCAACGAUUAAAGUCCUACGUGAUCUG